UGGGGAAUCUUGCACAAUGGGGGCAACCCUGAUGCAGCGACGCCGCGUGAGCGAUGAAGCCCUUCGGGGCGUAAAGCCCUUUCGACCGGAACGAUAGUGACGGUACCGGGAGAAGAAGCUGCGGCUAACUACGUGCCAGCAGCCGCGGUAAUACGUAGGCAGCAAGCGUUGUUCGGAGUUACUGGGCGUAAAGAGUGCGUAGGCGGUUUUCUAAGUUCGGUGUGAAAUCUCCCGGCUUAACUGGGAGGGUGCGCCGAAGACUGGGAAGCUGGAGUGUGGGAAAGUCAGGCGGAAUUCCUGGUGUAGCGGUGAAAUGCGUAGAUAUCAGAAGGAACACCGGCGGUGUAGACGGCUUGCUAGACCAUAACUGACGCUGAGGCACGAAAGCGUGGGU
rnacentral:rRNA from 1 species